GUGAUAACCCUCCUGAUUUUUAUGUCAGCCAAGGUUACUACCAAGCUGUAGGAGCUCACUGAAUAAACCACUGAACACUGGGAAUUCUCCCACUAUAUCACAAUUACAGAAGCAGAGGUGCUAGGUGGUCUCCUAUUGACUGAAACACAGAACAGGGACACCUGUGAGAUCGCAUUUCUGAGGUGUGCUGAAUGCCAUUGAAGCUCAUUGACUCCUUGAAUCAUCACCUCAUGCAAACACACCUCAGAAGAUCAAAAAGCUGCAGGCUGUGAUCUUCCUGAGAGGAUCUGCAGAUGGCUGCCAUUUAUCUAGACAGAUGAACUCAUUAACAGGAGAAGGAGAAGCAGAGACACACGGACUGACAUUUCUACUGUGUGGUUUGAAUCUACAGUGUAAUGCCCAGGGUCUCUACUGCCCUUGGGAUGCUCAUCUGUGCAGUGGUUUCACAGUGUCAAAAAAUUCAAGAAGUACUUCAAAUUCUGAACAGGUAUAUUCAAACUUUUUCUGUGAUAAAAGGUAUAAAUGCUGAAGACAUCUGAAGUGACUUUUGGUGGGUUUCUACAAAAAUCAGAACAUUUUUGAACUCUUUAUCUCUGUGAUGCGAAGGAAGUUUUCCUUUGCUUUGCUCUUGGAUGUCUACAUUUCUGCUGCCCUUAGCAUGUGAAGUUCUCCUCAUGACUGUGUCCUUUGCUGAACUUUUCAACUCUGCCACUGGCAUCAAAAUACAUUUUAGAUUUUCCUCUGACUCUCUGCUAGCAAAUAUCCUUCUAUGCUCACCCUGUAUCAUGGAGGUGAAUAUCUCUCCAUGGGUUGCAUAGUUCAUUGCAGAGUCUCUCUAAUUUAGGAUGCAUUUUUACU